AUGUGGUGGAGGACCGGGGCCCGCUCGGAGCUUCAUCCCAUCCACCCCUGCCUCCAAUCACAGCCUGCGGGUGGGGGACUGGGGUGGGGCAGACCCCCAAGGGAGGGGUUUUUGUAUGAGCCUGUGUCACAGUGUUUCGUGUUCGGCGGAGGGACCCAGCUGACCAUCUCAGGUGGGCCCAAGUCUGCACCCUCGGUCAGUCUGUUCCCGCCCUCCAAGGAGGAGCUCAGCGCCAACAAGGCCACACUGGUGUGUCUCGUCAGUGACUUCUACCCCCCCUCGAAACAGAGCAACAACAAGUACGCGCUCAGCAGCUACCUGACGCUGACACCUGACAAGUGGAAAUCUCACAGCAGCUUCAGCUGCCAGGUCACGCACGAAGGGAGCACCGUGGAGAAGACAGUGGCCCCCUCAGAGUGUUCUUAGGUCCCUGAGUCCCCGACCCAUGGGGGCCUUCCUC